rnacentral:lncRNA from 1 species
AUUUGGUUAAUCAAAUUCUCUGGCCAAGAUUAAAUGCAUUCAUCAGUAUUUGCUCGCUUUUGCUGUAACAAUCAGGUCGCCUUACUCCCCAAGUUUGCCUUUCAAGAUGUUCUCCACUGUCCAAGUUAAGUGACAAACGAUCUAGUCUGACAGUAGUCGAUCAUAAAUAACUGCUGAUGAAGAAAUUUGCCAAUGUUCUUAACAAUGUCAUCCUGUUUGCAAGAUUCAGCACUACAGUGGUUAAGCUCAUUA